CGUUCUAUUGCCGAAUUGGUAAAGGCGUCGCCGAUCACAGGCGGGGUGCGGGUUCGAGUCCCGCUGGAACGA
rnacentral:tRNA from 1 species